rnacentral:rRNA from 1 species
AGCGAACGCUGGCGGCAGGCCUAACACAUGCAAGUCGAGCGCCGUAGCAAUACGGAGCGGCAGACGGGAGAGUAACACGUGGGAACGUACCCUUUGGUUCGGAACAACCCAGGGAAACUUGGGCUAAUACCGGAUAAGCCCUCACGGGGAAAGAUUCAUCGCCGAAGGAUCGGCCCGCGUCUGAUUAGCUAGUUGGUGGGGUAAUGGCCCACCAAGGCGACGACCAGUAGCUGGUCUGAGAGGAUGAUCAGCCUCACUGGGACUGAGACACGGCCCAGACUCGUACGGGAGGCAGCAGUGGGGAAUAUUGGACAAUGGGCGCAAGCCUGAUCCAGACAUGCCGCGUGGGUGAUGAAGGCCCUAGGGUUGUAAAGCCCUUUCGGCGGGGAAGAUAAUGACGGUACCCGCAGAAGAAGCCCCGGCUAACUUCGUGCCAGCCGCCGCGGUAACAC